CAGUCAUGAGAGCAUAUGCAAUGUUUGUAAUAGAUGGAAGACUCAUAUACAGUUAAACUGCACUUAUACAAACAAGCACAUAAUGCAUAUGUCAGGGCUGUCAAAAUGAUUCCAAUAUCAAUGAGAUUGGCCUCAACCAUGACUAAGAUGGGAAGUCAUAACACUGGCAACAUGAAGGAGGUAUUGGUGUGGAGAAUAAGCCAGAAUUGCAACGUGUGUUGGAAGAAAGGAAAAGAGAGCAGAUAAUUAAACAGAAAAAGCAGGAUGAGGAGGCCAGGAGGAAAAUUUCUCAAUUGGAACAUGAACUUCUCAAGAGACACCAGAAACUAGACGAGCUGGAGAAGGAGCCGGCAAGACUGGAGGAUAGCAACUGCAGUGCUCCAGAGUUCAUAAAAGUGAAGGAGAACCUGAGACGGACAUCAUUUGCUAGUUCUGGAGAGAAGGAAGUGUAGGGGUGUAAACAAAGCCUGGAUCCAUGUGUGUUCGUGCACAGCCAGUAACAUAGAGACCUGCUGCAGCUCCUAAACACCACUCACAUGACUGCGCUUCUCUACUUCCUGUUUCACACCCACAACACCCUCACCUCUCGCUGUAGCAGGUUCAGAGAGGGCAGAGAAAAGGAUAAGAGUCUCUGCUACACUUUCACAUCAUGAGGAGGUUGACGCUUAAGAGGUUUCAAGAGACUGCAAUGAGAAAAGGAGUGUUGUUGUUUUUCUUUUCUGCUCUGAGUUGGACUAAAUGGGUAAAAGAUGAACUGCCCAGGUUGCUUAUGAGUUUGUGUGCAUGCAUGGAUGGACAGCUAUGUUCUGGUUCUGUCACAUUAG